UACGGAAGGCAGCAGGGGGAAUAUUGCACAAUGGGCGCAAGCCUGAUGCAGCCAUGCCGCGUGUAUGAAGAAGGCCUUCGGGUUGUAAAGUACUUUCAGUCGUGAGGAAGGUGUUAAGGUUAAUAACCUUAGCAAUUGACGUUAGCGACAGAAGAAGCACCGGCUAACUCCGUGCCAGCAGCCGCGGUAAUACGGAGGGUGCGAGCGUUAAUCGGAAUUACUGGGCGUAAAGGGCACGCAGGCGGUUAAUUAAGUUGGAUGUGAAAUCCCCGGGCUUAACCUGGGAAUGGCAUUCAAGACUGGUUAGCUAGAGUCUUGUAGAGGGGGUAGAAUUCCAUGUGUAGCGGUGAAAUGCGUAGAGAUGUGGAGGAAUACCGGUGGCGAAGGCGGCCCCUGGACAAAGGCUGACGCUCAUGUGCGAAAGCGUGGGGAGCAAAC
rnacentral:rRNA from 1 species